rnacentral:rRNA from 1 species
AUUGAACGCUGGCGGCAGGCCUAACACAUGCAAGUCGAACGAGUGGCGGACGGGUGAGUAAUGUCUGGGAAACUGCCUGAUGGAGGGGGAUAACUACUGGAAACGGUAGCUAAUACCGCAUACCAUCAGAUGUGCCAAGAUGGGAUUAGCUUGUUGGUGGGGUAACGGCUCACACAGGCGACGAUCCCUAUCUGGUUUGAGAGGAUGCCCAGCCACACUAGAACUGCGACACGGUCCAUCCUCCUACGGUAGGCAGCAUUGGGGAAUAUUGCACAAUGGGGGCAAGCCUGAUGCAGCCAUGCCGCGUGUAUGAAGAAUGCCUUCGGGUUGUAAAGUACUUUCAGCGGGUAGGCGUUACCCUCAGAAGAAGCACCGGCUAACUCCGUGCCAGCAGCCGCGGUAAUUC